UGUCCAGAUGAGAGUGGCUUUGUUGACACAGGUGUCUGAUGGUGUCUUCAGCUCCAACUCCACAGCGAUAUGCACAAUGCAGGGUGGCCCGAUGUGUGCAUGUCUGCUUACUCAGACGGCGACAUCACUUCUGCAGAGCGGCUCCGGAAAUAAAGCCACCGUCUUCCUCAAGAGAGCCGGAGGGCAGAGAGCCCAGAAAGAUACGGAGAAAUGUUGGGGUGAAGUGAAUGCUGCAACUUGGUGACUUGAUGCAAUCUGCUGGGCUUCCUUAAAGACUAUGCCUAUUUGAACAAGAC